rnacentral:rRNA from 1 species
GACGAACGCUGGCGGCGUGCUUAACACAUGCAAGUCGAACGGAAAGGCCCUGCUUGCAGGGUACUCGAGUGGCGAACGGGCGAGUAACACGUGGGUGAUCUGCCCUGCACUUCGGGAUAAGCCUGGGAAACUGGGUCUAAUACCGGAUAGGAGCCAUUUUUAGUGUGAUGGUUGGAAAGUUUUUUCGGUUUAGGAUGAGCUCGCGGCCUAUCAGCUUGUUGGUGGGGUGAUGGCCUACCAAGGCGGCGACGGGUAGCCGGCCUGAGAGGGUGGACGGCGACCUUGGGACUGAGAUACGGCACAGACUCCUACGGGAGGCAGCAGUGGGGAAGAUUGCACAAUGGGCGCAAGCCUGAUGCAGCGACGCCGCGUGGGGGAUGACGGCCUUCGGGUUGUAAACUACUUUCGCUAGGGACGAAGCUUUUUGUGACGGUACCUAGAUAAGAAGCCCCGGCUAACUACGUG